GAUGAACGCUAGCGGCAGGCUUAAUACAUGCAAGUCGAGGGGCAGCAGUCCCGCAGCAAUGCGGGAGCUGGCGACCGGCAAACGGGUGCGGAACACGUACAGAACCUUCCUUCGAGCGGGGAAUAGCCCAGAGAAAUUUGGAUUAAUACCCCAUAGCAUUACGAAGUGGCAUCACUUUGUAAUUAAAGAUUUAUCACUCGAAGAUGGCUGUGCGGCUGAUAGGUAGUUGGCGGAGUAACGGCCCACCAAGCCUUCGAUCAGUAACUGGUGUGAGAGCACGACCAGUCACACGGGCACUGAGACACGGGCCCGACUCCUACGGGGAGGCAGCAGUAAGGAAUAUUGGUCAAUGGACGAAAGUCUGAACCA
rnacentral:rRNA from 1 species